UCCGGAUUUAUUGGGCGUAAAGCGAGCGCAGGCGGUUAGAUAAGUNUGAAGUUAAAGGCUGUGGCUUNACCAUAGUACGCUUUGGAAACUGUUUAACUUGAGUGCAGAAGGGGAGAGUGGAAUUCCAUGUGUAGCGGUGAAANGCGUAGAUAUAUGGAGGAACACCGGUGGCGAAAGCGGCUNUCUGGUCUGUAACUGACGCUGAGGCUNGAAAGCGUGGGGAGCGAACAGGAUUAGAUACCCUGGUAGUNCACGCCGUAAACGAUGAGUGCUAGGUGUUAGGCCCUUUCCGGGGCUUAGUGCCGCAGCUAACGCAUUAAGCACUCCGCCUGGGGAGUACGACCGCAAGGUUGAAACUCAAAGGAAUUGACGGGGGCCCGCACAAGCGGUGGAGCAUGUGGUUUAAUUCGAAGCAACGCGAAGAACCUUACCAGGUCUUGACAUCCCGAUGCCCGCUCUAGAGAUAGAGUUUUACUUCGGUACAUCGGUGACAGGUGGUGCAUGGUUGUCGUCAGCUCGUGUUGUGAGAUGUUGGGUUAAGUCCCGCAACGAGCGCAACCCUUAUUGUUAGUUGCCAUCAUUCAGUUGGGCACUCUAGCGAGACUGCCGGUAAUAAACCGGAGGAAGGUGGGGAUGACGUCAAAUCAUCAUGCCCCUUAUGACCUGGGCUACACACGUGCUACAAUGGCUGGUACAACGAGUCGCAAGUCGGUGACAGCAAGCUAAUCUCUUAAAGCCAGUCUCAGUUCGGAUUGUAGGCUGCAACUCGCCUACAUGAAGUCGGAAUCGCUAGUAAUCGCGGAUCAGCACGCCGCGGUGAAUACGUUCCCGGGCCUUGUACACACCGCCCGUCACACCACGAGAGUUUGUAACACCCGAAGUCGGUGAGGUANCCUUUUAGGAGCCA
rnacentral:rRNA from 1 species